rnacentral:rRNA from 1 species
UGUAAAUUUAACUGUUAAUCCAAAGGGGUACAGCUCUUUGGACCAGGAUACAACCUUUAUUAGUGAGUAAACUACAUCAACAACCAUAGUUGGCCUAAAAGCAGCCACCAAUUAAGAAAGCGUUCAAGCUCAACAAGUCACUAACUCUGCCUUAAUACAAUAAAUCAACCCAAACUCCUAAUCCUAAAACUGGACUAAUCUAUACUUAUAUAGAAGUAAUACUGUUAAUAUGAGUAACAAGAUUUAAAUCUCCCCGCACAAGUUUAUAUCAGACCAAAUAUCACUACUGAUAGUUAACAAUUAGAUAAACAAACCCCACUAUAAAUUAUUUAUUAAUUUUACUGUUAACCCAACACAGGUGUGCAUUUAAGGAAAGAUUAAAAGAAGUAAAAGGAACUCGGCAAACACAAACCCCGCCUGUUUACCAAAAACAUCACCUCUAGCAUUUCUAGUAUUAGAGGCACUGCCUGCCCAGUGACAAUUGUUUAACGGCCGCGGUAUCCUGACCGUGCAAAGGUAGCAUAAUCAUUUGUUCCCUAAAUAGGGACUUGUAUGAAUGGCCACACGAGGGUUUAACUGUCUCUUACUUCCAAUCAGUGAAAUUGACCUUUCCGUGAAGAGGCGGAAAUACACCAAUUAGACGAGAAGACCCUAUGGAGCUUUAAUUUACCUACUCCAAUAGAAUAAUUAACUACCCGCACAGGGACAACACUAAUUCUUACUGGAUAGAAAAUUUCGGUUGGGGUGACCUCGGAGUAUAAACUAACCUCCGAGAUUUUUACCGAGACUGACAAGUCAAAGUACAAUCCUAUCAAUUGAUCCAGUCUAACUGAUCAACGGAACAAGUUACCCUAGGGAUAACAGCGCAAUCCUAUUCUAGAGUCCUUAUCAACAAUAGGGUUUACGACCUCGAUGUUGGAUCAGGACAUCCCAAUGGUGUAGCAGCUAUUAAUGGUUCGUUU